rnacentral:misc_RNA from 1 species
GAUGAAGAACGCAGCGAAAUGCGAUAAGUAGUGUGAAUUGCAGAAUUCAGUGAAUCAUCGAAUCUUUGAACGCACAUUGCGCCCCUUGGUAUUCCAUGGGGCAUGCCUGUUCGAGCGUCAUUUGUACCUUCAAGCUCUGCUUGGUGUUGGGUGUUUGUCUCGCCUCUGCGUGUAGACUCGCCUCAAAAUAAUUGGCAGCCGGCGUAUUGAUUUCGGAGCGCAGUACAUCUCGCGCUUUGCACUCAUAACGACGACGUCCAAAGUACAUUUUUACACUCUUGACCUCGGAUCAGGUAGGGAUACCCGCUGAACUUAAGCAUAUCAAUAAGCGGAGGA